GCGCCCUUAGCUCAGCUGGAUAGAGCAGCCGCCUUCUAAGCGGCUGGUCGCAGGUUCGAGUCCUGCAGGGCGCGCCA
rnacentral:tRNA from 1 species